rnacentral:rRNA from 1 species
GGGGUACUCGAGUGGCGAACGGGUGAGUAACACGUGGGUGAUCUGCCCUGCACUUUGGGAUAAGCCUGGGAAACUGGGUCUAAUACCGAAUAGGACCGCAUGCUUCAUGGUGUGUGGUGGAAAGCUUUUGCGGUGUGGGAUGGGCCCGCGGCCUAUCAGCUUGUUGGUGAGGUAAUGGCUUACCAAGGCGACGACGGGUAGCCGGCCUGAGAGGGUGACCGGCCACACUGGGACUGAGAUACGGCCCAGACUCCUACGGGAGGCAGCAGUGGGGAAUAUUGCACAAUGGGCGCAAGCCUGAUGCAGCGACGCCGCGUGAGGGAUGACGGCCUUCGGGUUGUAAACCUCUUUCGCCAGGGACGAAGCGCAAGUGACGGUACCUGGAGAAGAAGGACCGGCCAACUACGUGCCAGCAGCCGCGGUAAUACGUAGGGUCCGAGCGUUGUCCGGAAUUACUGGGCGUAAAGAGCUCGUAGGUGGUUUGUCGCGUUGUUCGUGAAAACUCACAGCUUAACUGUGGGCGUGCGGGCGAUACGGCAAACUUGAGUACUGCAGGGGAGACUGGAAUUCCUGGUG